GCCCGCGUAGUCGAUCCGGGUCUGCGACCGCUUCUUCGGCAGGUGCAGCACCGCGGUGACCAUGAUCAGCGCGAUCGCGCCGAGCGGCAGGUU
rnacentral:tRNA from 1 species